GACGAACGCUGGCGGCGUGCUUAACACAUGCAAGUCGAACGGAAAGGCCCUGCUUUUGUGGGGUGCUCGAGUGGCGAACGGGUGAGUAACACGUGAGUAACCUGCCCUUGACUUUGGGAUAACUUCAGGAAACUGGGGCUAAUACCGGAUAGGAGCUCCUGCCGCAUGGUGGGGGUUGGAAAGUUUCGGCGGUUGGGGAUGGACUCGCGGCUUAUCAGCUUGUUGGUGGGGUAGUGGCUUACCAAGCCUUUGACGGAUAGGCGGCCUGAGAGGGUGACCAGGGUCAAUGGGACUGAGAGACGGAGCAGACGCCAACGGGAGGCAGUGGGCGGGAAUAUGGCGGAAUGGGCGGAAGCCUGAUACAGCAACGCCGCGUGCGGGAUAACGGGUUUCGGGUUGUAAACCGCUUUCGCCGGUGACGAAGCGUGAGUGACGGUAAUGGGUAAAGAAGCACCGGCUAACUACGUG
rnacentral:rRNA from 1 species